CUCUCUCUCAGGCUCCUCCUCGCUAUCUUCUUCAGCUCUUGGGACAAGAUCCUCCAUCCAGGAGAAGUCUUCCUCAGGAUAGCGCUUCACGAGCUCGGCCAGAAGAUCGUCAUGAGCAUUCAUAUAAGCGCCAACCUCUCUUGCCAGGGCCUCUUCUUCUUUCACCUUGAUCUCCUCAGUAAGUCGAGUGACAUCGACAGAUCGAUAGGCUUGAGCGUCUUCAAGUUCCUACUCCAGUUUAGCUAUCCUUUCCUCGUAAGACUUCAUCCGAUCUUCUAUCUGGGCGAUGUGGUCCUGAGCAGUCAAGAGUUGGGGUUUAGCAAAAGCUGCGUCCUGGACCACCUUCAGAAUCUCCUGUCUCAAGAGAUGAGCAUUUUCUCUGAUCAUAUAUUGGUUCUCAAUGGUCUCCAAACCCAAGCUCAUCGUCUAAGUCAGGAGAUCGUCAAAGCUAUCCGGGGCCAAUCUAUUCCAAUCUUCUUGAAAACAGUGAAGGAGUGGAAGCAUGAAA
rnacentral:misc_RNA from 1 species